CUACAAUAUGAAGACAUCUGCCAUGUCUAAUGUGGUACCUGGCAUGUUGAAGUUAUCCGUAAACCAUGCCCAGCAAAUUCUCAGCACAAGGAAUGACCCUCUAAGGCAAGCACCGUAUUUUACUUAUCUCUGCAUCCACAGCACCUAACACCGCUCCCAACAUAAUUAGAUGCUGAUAUACUUUUGUGAAGUGAAUGAGUGGAUGGAACCCAUGAAAAAUCACAGUAAAUUGCGAGUAACUUCUCAGGCCCUGGACAUGUGCCCUAUUACUUUCCGGAGUAAUCAGAGUUGUUAUGAGAGAUGAGCUCAUCCAUACAAAGCAUUUGGUGCAGUUACUGACAAG